rnacentral:rRNA from 1 species
GACGAAGGGGGCUAGCGUUGUUCGGAAUUACUGGGCGUAAAGCGCGUGUAGGCGGUUGUUCAAGUCAGGUGUGAAAGCCUUGAGCUCAACUCAAGAAAUGCACUUGAUACUGGAUGACUAGAGGACCGGAGAGGAUAGUGGAAUUCCCAGUGUAGUGGUGAAAUACGUAGAGAUUGGGAAGAACACCAGUGGCGAAGGCGGCUAUCUGGACGGUAACUGACGCUGAGACGCGAAAGCGUGGGGAGCAAACAGG